rnacentral:misc_RNA from 1 species
AUUUUAAAUAAAUCUCAAUAAAAUCAGAAGGAACUAAUGUAUAUAAACAACAUUGAUUGAAUAAGACAAAUUCAACUAAUAGAUUAAAUUCAAAAUAACGCAAAAUAGCAAUAAAAUAAUAAUUAUUUUCUCAUUUAUAGUGAUGAAAUAUACAAACUACACGCAAACACAGAAAUUUCUUCUCAACUUUUGCACUGACCUGCAGAAAAUCAUUGGAGAAGAACUACGUAAUAGUGAAGUUGGAGGACUUUGAUUUCACCCCAAUAUGUAAGGAAAUUAUUUUAUACUUUCAGUAUAUGAGUACUAUCAAUGCACCUUAAAAUUUGCCAAUAUGCAAAUGGCAUCAGGGUUAGAAUAAUAUGCAGAUAAUGUAAAAUGGAUGGCUGAAAAUGAUUGUUAUGAUGCUUGGAUUAACUUUUUUUUUUAAAAGGAACUAGAAAAGAUGGCAGUGUGAGUCAAAACAUUGACCUCUUUCAAAGCGUUAACAACCAUCUGAUUCUGAAAGCAUUAACCACUAUGAUAAAGAUAGCUUUGAUGUUUAUUUUUUAGAAAAUUUUUAUUUAAAAAAAAAACUGAAUCAAAAUAAUAUAAAUUAAAACUAAACAAAAUUAAUUAACAUAUAAAAUUAAAUCAAAAAAUUAAAAUAGAUUGUUCACCCUCUUGGUCCAGUGCAAGCAAUUCCAAUAGCUUCAUUAUCAGGCAAUGAUGAAUGGAGCCCACCUCCAAGGAAAGCCGAAGCACUUCCAGUUUCUUCUCCUGGCCUUCAGAGUUUCGAAAACUGUUGCUUUUGGAGUUUUGAAAUCUUCACAAGUCAUAAGUCAUUCCCACAGUUUUUUUUUUAAUUAUUGAAAGCAGUUUUUUAUUUUAUUAAUAAAUAGAUAAACUGCCUUUUCAAAACAAAAGAGUUAUAAGAUAUAUUUAGUAUGAUGGAAUAAAAUUAUAAUGUGAUUAUGAUUAUAUUAUAUAUUUAAUUAUAUUAAUUAAAAAAAUAAAAAUAUUUAAUAUAAUAAAAUAACAAUUA